CAAGAAAUAACAACACUGGAAAUUUCAUUUCUAGUGAUUGGAAUGAUAGGAAUCCAAACCCCUUUCAGAGUAACAAUUGGAGGGCAAGUCUGGUGCCAGCAGCCGCGGUAAUUCCAGCUCCAAUAGCGUAUAUUAAAGUUGUUGCAGUUAAAAAGCUCGUAGUUGGAUUUCUGCUGGAAGCAGCCAGUCCGCCCUCAGGGGUGUGCACUUGGUGAAUUCUAGCAUCCUUCUGGAUUUCUCCACACUUCAUUGUGUGGAGUUUUUUCCAGGACUUUUACUUUGAGAAAAUUAGAGUGUUUCAAGCAGGCUUGUCGCCUUGAAUACUGCAGCAUGGAAUAAUAAGAUAGGAUUUCGGCCCUAUUUUGUUGGUUUCUAGGACUGAAGUAAUGAUUAAUAGGGACGGUUGGGGGCAUUCGUAUUUAACUGUCAGAGGUGAAAUUCUUAGAUUUGUUAAAGACGAACUACUGCGAAAGCAUUUGCCAAAGAUGUUUUCAUUAAUCAAGAACGAAAGUUAGGGGCUCGAAGACGAUCAGAUACCGUCGUAGUCUUAACCAUAAACUAUGCCGACUAGAGAUAGGAAAACGUCAUGCUUGACUUCUCCUGCACCUUAUGAGAAAU
rnacentral:rRNA from 1 species